UCAACAAGUAUAUAACCCAACUCCUCCACCUCCGCAACCUCAUUAUGCACAUGCACCCCCUCAAAAAUCCAGUCUUGAAGAAACUUUGCAAUCUUUCAUGCAAGGUCAAGCCAAAAUCAAUGAUGAAAUAAGAAAUCAACUGACAAUGUUGACCACUGCUUUAAGUUCUCAAGAGAAGGGUAAGCUACCAGCUCAACCACAA
rnacentral:lncRNA from 1 species